AGUUAUGAGCUCUGGAUUAUACAUGUACUAACAGGGAGGAGUUAUUAGCUCUGGAUUAUACAUGUACUAACAGGGAGGAGUUAUGAGCUCUGGAUUAUACAUGUACUAAUAGGAAGGAGUUAUGCCAGGGCUCAUACUAGCAUUAAGCUAAAUGUAAAUUCUGACAAGACAGAGCAGGUAAGGUGGCCUGUAAUCAAAACUUUUGCAACUCAUAUGUUUUGCUCCAUUUUGUGUCAGUUUUAGAACUUUAGGUUACUAUAUAGAUAAGGGACUUCAAAAAUAUUCAAUGUGAGGCAAAAUUGCAUUGACUUUUUGUGGUCAUGCUAUCUGCAAUCUGAAUGUUCUGUUCCAUGUGCCUUUAUUUCAAAAUACAAUGUAUAACGAAAUAUGCAAUUUAUAGUGUAAAAAAUUGUUGUUUUAAAACAACUCCUUAUUAUAAUAAACAUGGAGCUCAACCUUUUAUCUCACCAUUGAUGACAUUCUUAUUAGUCUUAAGUUACUACUGAAGCUCACCAGGCUGUAGGGGGCUCAUAAAGGCAUCAACAGAGGGUGUAGUAACCAUGGGGAAAGAAGGAUGGGGCCCUGUUUGGAGGUAAAUAUUGUUAAUCUUUGGAGUCUGAUUCCUUAUUAUGUAGUAAGGAGACUCUAACAAGAUUGGGUUUAGGUUCUUUUUUAUGCUUACAUGACUAGUUGAGCCAGUUAGGCUUACAGGACUAGUUGAACUAGUUAGGCUUAGUCCCUUGUGAUAGUCCAGGUGAGACAGACACUCUUGUCCCUUGUGAUUAUCCAGGUGAGACAGACACUCUUGUCCCUUGUGAUUAUCCAGGUGAGACAGCCACUCUUGUCCCUUGUGAUUAUCCAGGUGAGACAGCCACUCUUGUCCCUUGUGAUAGUCCAGGUGAGACGGACACUCUUGUCCCUUGUGAUUAUCCAGGUGAGACAGUCACUCUUGUCCCUUGUGAAUAUCCAGGUGAGACAGACACUCUUGUCCCUUGUGAUUAUCCAGGUGAGACAGCCACUCUUGUCCCUUGUGAUUAUCCAGGUGAGACAGCCACUCUUGUCCCUUGUGAAUAUCCAGGUGAGACAGACACUCUUGUCCCUUGUGAUUAUCCAGGUGAGACAGACACUCUUGUCCCUUGUGAUUAUCCAGGUGAGACAGCCACUCUUGUCCCUUGUGAUAGUCCAGGUGAGACGGACACUCUUGUCCCUUGUGAUUAUCCAGGUGAGACAGUCACUCUUGUCCCUUGUGAAUAUCCAGAUGAGACAGCCACUCUUGCCCCUUAAUUGAUUUUAUAUAAAACAGUGCCUUGAAUCUGUAACAGGCUGAACAGUUGAUUUGGCAACAUUGUGCAAUUACAUCAGUUUCAGUUACUGAAUCAUUUUGCUAGGUUAAAAUUAGAAAUGUUACAUUCUGAUUCAUUUAUAUCAAUUUUCAUAAUGGAAUAUGUUGCUGGCGAUACUUAUUAUUGUUACAGAAUGUUCAGCAUUUGACUUUUCUGGAAAAAAGAGGCUUCGAGAUAUAACAGAAAUUUUACCCAGACCUGUAAGGUUACCUGCUUACUACACAAUGUAUGUAUAUGACAAAAGAUUUAUAGAAUUUACAAAACAUUAGACAACUAAGUCAAACUAUAUUCAACUGAACGAUUACUGUGACUUAAAUAUUGUACGUGUAACUGAAUUGUCCAUCUACUAAUGUACAUCUACAUCUACAUUGGUACAGUAAUAGUAUCAAUACUAUCAGUCUGAGGUUACAUUUCCAUAUACCAGGAUACUUCUAGAUUUAUAGGCCAAGUCUGCUGUCUAACCCAUUUGUAUAAAUGUUAUACAAUAAAAUAUGAUGAAAUGAAAUACUUCUAGAUUUAAAGUGAUUUACAAAGCACUGAAAGACGCAAGUAUUUAAUUAGGUAAUAUGUAUAUUUCUAUGUAUAUGUCUAUGUAUGUGUCAAAAUAAAAGAUGUUAGUUU